AUCUGUUUUUGGUUUUAAUGAAGGAUACAUUUUUGUCCGGACGCAAUUUUCAAAACCUCUAAAGCUUGAAGACAACCCAUGACUCCAACCACUGCAAUGAAGAUGGAAAUAUGCUUUUACACUGCACAGGACUGGAGUCUGUUGUCAGAGCACAGGUUCAGCUAUGCUCAGCUGUGAUACAACACUCUGGAGCAGAGAGGGAUAAAGGCCUUGAUCAAGAACCCAACAGUAGCAACUGUAUUCUUUGGUGCUACAGGUGUGCACGAGUAAGCUUUUACUCUCAUGCGGGAAUUACAGUAGAUCUGGGGCUGUAAAAUCAUGUGUGUUACAAGCAUAACUAAUGCCCGGUAAAGGUACAUGUAAUAGCUGUGAACUCACCCACUCCCAACACUCCUCCAUCAGAGCAGUUUGUGACAGUGUCCGGUGGGGGGGGAACAGGAUAUAAACACCUGUAGCAGGGUCCAUGGUUGUAAUUAUACACAGUGAGCUAUGAAAUGAGAUAGAAAAGACAUACAAACACAUUUAUUCAUCUCAGUAAGGCUGAAUUUAUCUGUAAAUGUUUUCAUUGUUUAAUAAAAGCACAUUAAUUCCCA